AUUGAACGCUGGCGGCAGGCCUAAAACAUGCAAGUCGAGCGAGCGGCGGACGGGUGAGUAAAGUCAGGGAAACUGCCGGAUGGAGGGGGAGAACUACUGGAAACGGUAGCUAAGACCGCAUCCCAUCAGAUGUGCCCAGAUGGGAUUAGCUAGUAGGUGUGGUAACGGACCACCUAGGCGACGAUCCCCAGAUGGUCUGAGAGGAUGACCAGCCACACUGGAACUGAGACACGGUCCAGACUCCUACGGGAGGCAGCAGUGGGGAAUAUUGCACAAUGGGCGCAAGCCUGAUGCAGCCAUGCCGCGUGUGUGAAGAAGGCCUUCGGGUUGUAAAGCACUUUCAGCGGGGAGGCGUUACCCGCAGAAGAAGCACCGGCUAACUCCGUGCCAGCAGCCGCGGUAAUUC
rnacentral:rRNA from 1 species